GGGGCUGGAGGGAUGGCUCAGAGGUUA
rnacentral:piRNA from 1 species